rnacentral:rRNA from 1 species
GGCGGAUUGGGGAGGAACACGUGAGCAACCUGCCUUGGAGUCGGGGAAAACCGUUGGAACGACGGCUAAUACCGGAUGCGGCGCCCGAUGACAUCAUCGGAGCGCUAAAGGGGGCCGCAAGGCUCUCGCUCCUAGAGGGGCUCGCGCACCAUCAGCUUGUUGGCGGGGUAACGGCCCACCAAGGCCUACGGUUAGCUGGUCUGAGAGGAUGACCAGCCCCACUGGGACUGAGAUACUGCCCAGACUCCUACGGGAGGCUGCAGUCGAGGAUCAUUUGCAAUGGGCGAAAGCCUGACAAUGCGACGCUGCGUGGAGGGAAUGAAAGGCCUUCGGGUUGUAAACUCCUGUCAUGGGGGAACAGGCGAGGAUUACCUAAUACGUAUCUUAGUUGAGUGUACCCCAAGAGGAAUUGGCGGCUAACUCUGUGCCAGCAGCCGC